CAUUAAGAAGCUAAMCCGGCCUAGCAUUAGCCUUUAAGCUAAAACUGGUGACUCCCAAUCACCCUUAAUGA
rnacentral:tRNA from 1 species